UACGUAGGGUGCAAGCGUUGUCCGGAAUUAUUGGGCGUAAAGAGCUCGUAGGCGGUUUGUCGCGUCUGCUGUGAAAACCCGCGGCUCAACUGCGGGCUUGCAGCCGAUACGGGCAGGCUAGAGUUCGGUAGGGGAGACUGGAAUUCCUGGUGUAGCGGUGAAAUGCGCAGAUAUCAGGAGGAACACCGAUGGCGAAGGCAGGUCUCUGGGCCGAUACUGACGCUGAGGAGCGAAAGCGUGGGGAGCGAACAGG
rnacentral:rRNA from 1 species